AUUUAAUGAUGGGGGCAGCUAGCACACAUCUUCUUGAAGCUCUCCCACUACUCAUGCAGGGUCUCUCCUUUAUAUUACAUGAUGCUACAAAUAUCUUUUCUUAUAUU